UCUUCUAGCAAUUCCUCCUGUGUGUACCUUCAUGUUUCCAUCUGUCAUGCUUUGCUGGUCCCUGAUGAUUUAGCCAUUUCAGAAUGACUGAACAGCACAGAUCAUUCACAGAUCGAGGUCUAUGCCCAACACCUGCCUUCUCCUUCUCUUUCUCUACAGUGUGAUUACAUCAGAGCUUGGCUGUAGAGAGCGGCGCGGUGAAACAAAGAUGGCGCCGACAUCCAGCCUUGUCUGGAUAUAAACGACUUACUGCGCAUGUGCAGGCUUGUCCCCUUGCUAGGGCUCCCUCUAGUGGUGAACAGCGGUACUGCACAUGUGCGGUUUAUUCACCAGGUGUUAGUUGACCGUUAAUAUGCUAAUGAGGUGAUUCAUUCUCCGCCAAUCCCUGGAGGACAAGUAGUGGGGUGAUCCAAGCCCCACCAAUCCCUGAGAGAUAAUUAGCAUACUGCUGUCUAUAUAAGCCGAGCGAUUUUGCUGCUCGGGGUCCCUGUUCAAGAGAGCUGUAACACUGAGAAGAGCUGUAACACUAAGAAGAGCUGUAACACAGUAAAGGCUUGCUCGCAGAAGAAUCCUGUUGCCACGCGUCGUUCUUGCUGGCGGGACAUUGGGCGCGCGACAAGUGGUGCCGAGACCCGGGAACCAACAUCGCCGGUGCCAGGGGACCCUUCAGUGUGCUGAAGAGGAUUCAGAACUGCGAGAAGGUAAAUUAAAAGGUAAGCUUCGAGAGGCAUGCCACUUUUUGGAAGAGAGCAUGUCAGAAACGGAGCAGAGUGAGAAAUUAGGCUUCGAGAGGCAUGCCCCUUUUUGGAUUUAAGAGAGCAUGUCAGAAACGGAGCAGAGGCAGAAAUGGAGCAGAGUGAGAAAUUAGGAGCUCGCAAAAAGAAAAAGGUUACUAAAACAAAAGUGAAAGAAAUACAAAAGGCAGAAGAAAUGCCGCUGGAGGAAAAAAUAAGAGUGCCCCGGAGGACGAAGUACAAGUCAUCCGGAGAGGAUACUUUGUAUCCAUUAAAAGAAUUAGAAGCCUUAGAACUGGCUGGCAGUGACUCUGAGCAAGAGUUGUCAGAGUCCGAGGAGGAGGAAUUAGAGGAAGAGGCAGCCAUAUAUGAGGAAGAAAGAUAUGGGCCUAGGUGGAGAGCCACUGUGAAGAAACCUAAAGUUAUGGAUCCUUUGUGGGCAAGGCUGGUAAUUUUGUUUCUUUUUUUCUUUGUGUGGGAUAGAGAAGCCACAGACAGCAAGCUUAAGCCUGGACCAAAACCUCUUUGGCGAAUGGUCCCUGCCUGCUUAGAGGAUAAACGAUGUGAGGAAGCCAUUAGAGCCGUUAGGACAGGUCAGAGGGUCCUUGCAGAACAACAAGAAAGUAUGUCAGAGGGAGAAAAGGUCUCGAAAGAAAAAGAGAAAAGAAAAGGAGAUAAAAGGAACAGAGAGAAGGCAGAGAUAAAAAAUGGGGUCAGUGCAGCUUUUGUUGUGGCUCAAGUUGAGGCUAUUGCUAGGUAUGUGAUUAGGCUGUGGAAACCUCACAGAGUCAUACUGAUCAGAUUUGAUAGAGGUAGACCGCCUGAAAAUUUAUUCAGGAGAAUCAAACAAAAAGAUAAACUUGAGUGUGCCUACUUGGAUUCCUGGUCUCAAGGAGAUUUAGCAAGUGACAAGGUGCUUUUCUUAAAAAAGCAGUUUCAAUUGGCCCUUGGAGCCUUGCACCUGUAGCUAAGAUAUGUGUAGCCACUUCAAUUUUGUUUUCUGAUUGGUUUUAAAUGUAUAAAUAUUCUCUACAUGCCUUGGUUAUGGACUAUUGGCUUUUAAGUUAUUGGAUAUGGUUUAAAAAAAUGUAACAUUGAUAACAAAGUUGACAUAAAACUGGUAAAAUUUAAAAUAUGCUCAUGUUUCUGUUGAUACCUGUUCCGGUAUUAUACACGCUACUCUGAUGACUGGUGAAAAGGCUUGUAAUGCCAUUAGCCAUUGCUUAGAGGCAUGGGCAGCCUGGGGAAAGCCUGAUAGUCUCAAGACAGACAACGGGCCUGCCUACACUGCUAAGUCCUUUCAGGCAUUUUGUCAGACAAUGCAGGUCAAACAUACUAAAGGAUUGCCAUACAAUCCUCAGGGUCAAGGAAUUGUGGAAAGAGUACAUCGUACCUUAAAAGAGCUUAUACACAAAUCAAAAGAGGGAAUUGCCAGCGGCCAAACACCAAAAGGACAACUUUCUUUGGCUCUUUUUACUCUAAAUUUCUUAAUUUUGGAUGCGCAUGGCCGCUCUGCCGCAGAUCGCCAUGCUGCUACUAUACCUAUAACUAAUGCAGAAGUAAAGUGGAAGGAUGUCUUAACUGAUGAAUGGUGUGGCCCAGAUCCCAUGAUUUCGAGAUCUAGGGGAGCGAUUUGUGUUUUUCCGCAGAAUCAAGAAAAUCCAAUUUGGGUACCUGAGCGUUUGACUCGAAGAUUGUCUUCUGCUCUUCCUGAAGAUGAGACUAUGAACCCUACUAUUACUACUGGGGAUGGUAAUACAGGUUAAUUCGCUCACCCUGUGGGCUAUUGCCAGAUCCUGGCCAGUACCCAUGCCAGUUCAUAGCAAUUCUACUGUUUUGAGAAUAAGAAUGACAAGCAUAAUCUCUGGCCUUGGUUUCAAUGGGUGCUGUCCAAUGAGCAAGGGUUAUAUACAUCCCUGACCCCCUUUGCUAGGUUGAUGGGAGAGAACUUCGUGCUGUAUAGUGUUUCAGCUACCAGAAAAAGGUGAUACCAGGUUGAUCAAUAUUCAAUAUAAUAACCUCUUGGUAAAUAAUACUGCCACUAGUACUUCAGUAUGUGCUAGAUCACCUUUUUUCUGAUAAGCACUAAUGUAAGCAGUGGUGCUUUAAAUUAUAAUAGCUCUGAUGUAGUCUGCUAUUUAGCUGAAUGCUGGGAUGGCACCAAUGACACCGCAGUGAUGGUUAAGAUUCCCUCCUUUGUGCCAAUCCCAGUGGAGGCAAACCCAGAUAGCUUUCCUAUUCUUAAUUUGCUGAAAGCCAAAAGAGAUUUUGGAAUUAUGGCAGCCAUAAUUUCAGCCAUUGUGCUGUCUGCUGCCGCAGCUACCACAGCUGCAAUCGCUAUGACCAAUCAAAUACAGACAGCUGAGACUGUCAAUCAGAACUGCAGUGGCGCUAGAGAUACAAAAAGAAUUUAAUACCCAUUUGGCAUCUGGCCUUCUAUUAGCCAAUCAAAGGAUAGAUUUAGUUCAAGAACAAAUUGAAGCACUGUAUCAUAUGACACAGCUGUCUUGCGUUUCCUCCCUUAGAGGUUUAUGCAUUACUCCUUUGCGAAAUAACUUUUCUCAGAAUUUUCAACAGAGCAAAGAAAUCUCGAAUUAUCUGAAAGGAAACUGGUCCAUGAAAGCAGAGCAACUAUCAAGACAAUUGCUGAUGCAGAUUGCUGUCCUCAACAGCACUAGGCUGGACCCCAUCACAGUUGAAGACUUUACCUCAUGGGUUACCGAUGCUUUCUCCCUUUUUAAGGAGUGGGCGGGCAUGUUUGUCCCGAGGAGCUAUUGUCCUCCUGGGUUGCGGAGUAGGUCUCUGGCUUAUUGGCUGUUUAAAAAAGAGAACAUGCCAGACACAAAGUGGUUGUUUACCAGGCUAUGACCACCAUUAAAAAGGGUACUUCUCCCAACAUAUGGCUGGCCUCUUUGAAAGAUCAAGAGUUCGCCCUAGAUCAUUUUUGUCACAGUCAUGUGGAGUCAUUGUAUCCAGGGACGGGCAACUUUCCUCGAACUCGGACCAACCUAAGACACGGGGCCCGGUGGCGAUAGGGUAACUCUAUGACGGGUAAGGCCAAGUUUGGAUGAGAACGACCUAAGACAGGAGCAAUGACAAGAUUGACGUGACACCCAGAUCUAGACCAGUCAUUUUAUUAAACAAAAAAGGGGGAGAUGUAGAGAGCGGCGCGGUGAAACAAAGAUGGCGCCGACAUCCAGCCUUGUCUGGAUAUAAACGACUUACUGCGCAUGUGCAGGCUUGUCCCCUUGCUAGGGCUCCCUCUAGUGGUGAACAGCGGUACUGCACAUGUGCGGUUUAUUCACCAGGUGUUAGUUGACCGUUAAUAUGCUAAUGAGGUGAUUCAUUCUCUGCCAAUCCCUGAAGGACAAGUAGUGGGGUGAUCCAAGCCCCACCAAUCCCUGAGAGAUAAUUAGCAUACUGCUGUCUAUAUAAGCCGAGCGAUUUUGCUGCUUGGGGUCCCUGUUCAAGAGAGCUGUAACACUGAGAAGAGCUGUAACACUAAGAAGAGCUGUAACACAGUAAAGGCUUGCUCGCAGAAGAAUCCUGUUGCCAUGCGUCGUUCUUGCUGGCGGGACAUUGGGCGCGCGACACUUGGCACCCAUAAUUAGCUUGUGUUUGCUUUAUUCUAUCUAGGCAAAGGCGGUGUAACCACGAGGUGAUCAGACUGGCCACGUAUGUUUCUUUCACUCAGCUUCUACACUUCCUCUGGUGAAACAACCUGGUUACUGGUUGUUUUCUUUCUUCCACGGACAGACAGUGUUCCACUCACAUAACUGAUAUUUCCCCUCUGACAGUGGGUUGAGUACAAGCCUGACAAAGCAUGUAACACUGGCAUGUUCUGGAUGAUCUCUCACCUCCGUUUUCUCUGGGCUUUUACUUCCAACUUCAUUAUCUUUUCUUAACACAGAUCUUCCGUCCACCUGCCCAGAUGCCUGGAGUCUCCCAAGACCAGGCCCACUAGGUUUUGUCUCAUUGUAGGCCAAUUUUUGUUUUAGUUCUUGGUUUCGCCUUUUAUGUGUGCAACUUGACUUUCUAACAGAUUCCCCAUAAGAGAGAAGGAUAUAUUUUAAAACCUUUUCUGGAUUUGAAAGUGCUGUUAUUGAGCCUUCUCAUCUGAUUGGGUUAUAGAGCAGAUAGGUCACUCUGGAUUAAUACCAGAUAGGUCACUUUCCCUCAGAAUUAGAAGGUACUUUCUACUGCCUUCUAGUAUACCAUGAUGCCCUGAAGAAGUAUCAUACCAUUUCAUUCUUGGUCCUUUCAAGAAGUAAACACCCUUUCUUUUGGUAAAUCUGAGAAAAUAUUCUGGAUACUUGGAGAUACCUGCUGUAAUUUUUACUCACUGACUUGGGUAAGCAGCAUCUUUUCCAGCAAGAGGCCUGGGUUCCUCAUUUCUGGGAACUUUUAAAAAAUAUAAUUUUUUUAUUUGUUGAAUUUAUAGUAUAAUUAUAUCAUUUUCCCCAUUCCUUUCCUCCCUCUAGAUCCUUCCAUGUGAGCCCUUAAAUCUAUGGCUUUCUUUUCCUUUAAUUAUUGUCGCGCGCACGCGUGUGUGUGUGUGUGUGUUGUUUAGGGAACCAUACUGGUAAGACUUCACCACCAAAAUUAAACCAGGAAGAAACCUAUAUCCUAAACAGAUCGGUAACAAAUGAACAGACUGAAAUAGUAACAAAAAGUCUUCCAACAAAAAAGUCCUGGGCCUGAUAGAUUGACAGCAAAAUUCUACCAGACUUUGAAAGAUCUACAGCCAAACUUUCUUAAACUAUUAAAAAUAAAAAACAAACAAAUAACAACCAAAACCAAACAAAAAACCAUUAACAGAUCACUCUCAAAUUCCUUCAAUAAAGUUGUCUCUCUCUCUGACACCCAACCAGGUAAUGAUACAAGGAGAACUACAGGUCAAUCUCCCUGAGGAAUGUAGAUUCAAAAACACUCAAUAAAAUGUCUGCAACCCAAAUACAGACAUACAUGAAGAAUAUUACCCACCAGGGAUAAAGAUGGCUUCAUCCCUGAGAUGCAAGGAAGGUUCAACAUAAAUGGACCAAAUGGCAAAAGAUGCAGAAAAAGCAUCUGACAAAAUCUAGCAUGCCUUCAUGAAAAAAGUCCCAGAGAAAGUCAGGUAGAAGGAACAUACUUCAAUAUAAUAGAAGCUAUAGAAGAGAAACUCACACCAACAUCAUUCUAAAUGAAGGAAAACUUGAAGCAACCCUACAGAAUUCAGGAAGGAGACAGAGCUGUCCAUCAUCCACACUCCUUUUCAAGACUGUGUUGGAAGACACAGCAAGAGCAAUAAGGAAAGAGAAGAGAACUAGAGGGUACAAGGAGGCAUGAUUAGUCCAAGGAUCCCUGUUUGCAGAUGGCGUAUUGUAUAGAAGAGAUUCCAAAAAUUCUACCGGAAAACUUCUAGGAACAACUAAUUCAACAAUGUGACAGGAUAUAGAAUCUACUUGCCCAAAUCAGUAGCGUUUCUACACCUCUACAGUAAACACACAGAGGAGAUCAUGGACACAUGCCCAUUUGCAACAGCCUCAAAGAAAAUAGAGUAUCAGGAGGUGAGUGAGUCCCUAACAAAAGCUUUGCUGUAUUUUUGAUGAUUUUUCUCUACCAUAGUUUCUAUCUUUGAAGCUCCCUCCUAUUAUCAGUAGAGGGUCUUCUGAAUCUAGCCUCCAUUUUCUCUUUCUAGAGUUCUUGUUUCUUACUAUUUGAAAAAAAAAAUAUCUAGCUCAGCUGUUCAGCGUUUCUAUUAAAUUAGUUUCCUCACACCUUUAAUUAAAAGGAGCCUUUGUAUUCUGUGUGUGGUUUUGGUGACAGCAUGUAAUUCUAGUUUUAUGGGCACAGUUUUAUUUCUGGAAGAAUUCUAGUGUUUCUAACUUUUCUCCCACUUUCUACCCUUUCAGAGUUCUCUUUACAUUUUGGCUUCACUUGACUCAGAAGUUACCCACACUGUCUGCUAGUCCUUGGCUGGCCUCUUCUAUGUAGAAGAGAGACACUGAAAAUAUGGAAGCUUUGAGUGCUGAGUUUGGUGGCUUUACAAGGAAGGGGACCAGAUGACCAGCUAGCUUCUCACUGCCGCCCCCAGCAUUUCCUCCGUAUUGGAGACUGUAGUGUCAGAAGUGUGGGCACAGAACUGUUCAGAGGCCCUGCGGUCACCACUGUGGAAAGAGGCCAUUCACCUGUGGUUUGUUUAGUUUCUCUACUUCCUCUGGCUUCUGCUGGCUGAAGCAGCAGCAGCCUUGUUGCUAUUUCAUGCAGAAACAAGUGAUGCUGCCCACCUGAGCAGACUUAAAAGAGGGUAGUGAAUGCAGUCCCAAUCCUGUAAUUUUACCCCAAGACCUACUUCUGCAUGCUGGUUAGGCUUCAGGCAGAGAGGACCAAACAGCACCCGAGUUUCAGAAAGCUGACACUCAACUGUCAUCCCGUGGCUGGAAGAAGCUCAGUGGGAAAGAAUGUCUAUUGUGUAAGCACAAGGGCCUGAGUUCAAAUCCUCAACACAGAUGUAAAAGACCAA